rnacentral:rRNA from 2 species
UACGGAGGAUGCGAGCGUUAUCCGGAAUUAUUGGGUUUAAAGGGUGCGUAGGUUGCAAGGGAAGUCAGGGGUGAAAAGCUGUAGCUCAACUAUGGUCUUGCCUUUGAAACUCUCUAGCUAGAGUGUACUGGAGGUACGUGGAACGUGUGGUGUAGCGGUGAAAUGCAUAGAUAUCACACAGAACUCCGAUUGCGCAGGCAGCGUACUACAUUACAACUGACACUGAAGCACGAAAGCGUGGGUAUCAAACAGG